AGUGGCGGAAGGGUUAGUAAUACAUGGGUAACCUGCCUUUAACUUGGGAAUAACGGUUGGAAACGACCGCUAAUACCGAAUGAGGUGGAAGAGAGGCAUCUUUUUUCCAUCAAAGUGGGGGAUCGUAAGACCUUACGGUUAAAGAGGGGCCCAUGCGAUAUCAGCUAGUUGGUGAGGUAACGGCUCACCAAGGCUAAGACGUCUAGGCGGAUUGAGAGAUUG
rnacentral:rRNA from 1 species